rnacentral:rRNA from 1 species
CUGCGCUGCUUUCCUGCAAGUCGAACGGUAACACGUCUUCGGAUGCUGACUAGUGGCGAACGGGUGAAUAAUACAUCGAAAACGUGCCUAUCAAUGUGGGAUAGCUACUCAAAAGAGUAGCUAAUACCGCAUGACAUCUACGGAUGAAAGCAGGGGACCUUCGGGUCUUGUGCUACUGCAGCGGCUGAUGGCCCAUUAGGUAGUUGGUGGGGUAAAGGCUUACCGGCCUGCGAUCUGACGAUGGUCUGAUAGGACGACCGGCCACACUGGGACUGAGACACUGACCAAACUCCUACAGUAGGCAGCAGUGGGGAAUUUUGGACAAUGGGCGAAAGCCUGAUCCCCCGAUGCCGCGUGCCCGAUGAAGGCCCUCGGGUUGUAAACUGCUUUUGUACUUAACGAAAAGCCUGGGGCUAAUAUCCCCGGGUCAUGACGGUACCAUAAGAAUAAACACCGGCUAACUACGUGCCUUCAUCCGCGGUAAUACGUAAGGUGCAAGCGUUAAUCCGAAUUACUGGGCUUAUGGCGUGCGCACGCGGUUAUGUAAUACAGUGGUGAAAUCCCCGGGCUCAUGCUGUGAACUGCCAUUGUGACUGCAAUGCUAGAGUGCUACAGAGGGGGAUGGAAUUCCGCGUGUACCAGUGAAAUGCGUAGAUAUGUAGAGGAACACCGAUGGCUAAAGCGAUCCCCUGGGCCUGCACUGACGCUCAUGCACGAAAGCGUGAGGAGCAAACGGGAUUAGAUACCCUGAUACUCCUGCGCCCUAAACGCAUGUCAACUGGGUUGAUCGGGUCUGUUAGCUGACUCAGUUGCGAAGCUU